CUUUUUUUUUUUAGACAGAAUCUUGCUCUGUUGCCCAGGCUGGAGUGCAAUGGCGCAAUCUCGGCCUCCCAGGUUCAAGUGAAUCUCCUGCCUCAGCUUGCUGAGUAGCUGGGAUUACAGGUGCGUGCCACUACACCCAGCUAAUUUUUGUAUUUUUAGCAGAGAUGGAGUUUUGCCAUGUUGGCCAGGCUGGUCUCAAACUCCUGACCUCAGGUGAUCCACCCACUGAGACUACAGGCAUGAGCCACUGCACCUGGUCACAGUGAUGUACGUUAAGUGUAACAUGUGUUUGCUGUUAUUGCUGACCAUUAUUCAGGGGAUGAAGCUAGUAAAAUAGAUCCCAGCUGUCCUAACUGAAAGGCAAAAAAAAAAAUCUUGUAUUUAUACUGAGAGCUAUGGAUCCACAGACAACCAAGGGCAAAACAAAACUGUCAUAAAGCAGGUUUUAAAAAGAGAGAGGGGAAGCUGAGGGAGAAAGGAUAGAGGGAAGUGAAAGAGGAGAAAGAAAGAAGUGAGAGGUAGAGGGAGAGAAAAGAAGUGAAGGAAGAGGCCAGGCGCGGUGGCUCCCACCUGUAAUCCCAGUACUUUGGGAGGCCAAGGUGGGUGGAUCACUUGAGGUCAGGAGUUGGAGACCAAUCUGGCCAACAUGAUGAAACCCCAUCUCUACUAAAAGUAUAAAAAUUAGCCAGGUGUGGUGGUGUAGGCCUGGAGUCCUAGCUACUCAGGAGGCUGAGGCAGGAGAAUCAUUUGAACCUGGGAGGCGGAGGUUGUAGUGAGCUGAGAUUGCGCCACUGCACUCCGGCCUCGACAACAGAGUGAGACUCUGCUCAAAACAGCAACAACAACAACAACAACAAAAAGUGAAGGAGAGAGACCCCACCCUGUGAAAACACAGGGACAGAAACUGCAGGGAGAUGGGGGACUCAGUAACUCCUGAAGCACCAUGCAUUGGAAAACUCCGAGAUGAGAGCCAAGAGCAAUGGUUUAAUGGACACUGCAGCAGCUUUAAGCAGCAUGUGUUGAAAGCACACAUAAGGUACUUUCCAAUACCUCGGCUCACUUCUGGGUGGUCUUUGUUGAGAACCAGCUUCUAGCAUCGCUGGGUAACACAUCUCCCUUCUCGGGUUCCCUGAACAAAUGAAGCAAUUGAAACAACUGGAAAUAGCAGCUACUGGCAUGGGAACUCACAUGGCAUCUAACACUCAUCCUGACAGAAGAGUCAUGUGGCCGAGUUUCUCCAGGACUUACCCACCCGUGAGUGUCACUGUUGGGGUCAUUUUAGGGGCAAUGGCCUGUCAUUGCUGACCCUUGCCCCUGAGACUUUGUCCCCAGGAGCAUUUGUAGCAACUCACAAGUACUCCUGUUACACUUCCCAUUUCCCCAACAUUGGCAAUGUCUCCAGGUCACCUGGCAACUCCAGGGGAAGGUACAGCAGACACCUUAUAUGCUGUAUUUGCAUCAAGAAUGUGUUCUCCUGGUGAGGAGACUCUUCAGGUGAUUAAACAGUGACAAACGUUCUGGAAUUCUUCCUGUGCUGGGAAGAGAGCAUGUCCCUCCACCCCCACCUCCCUUUCUGCAUCUUGGUUUGUCAGGAGGCCCAAAAGCGGUGGUGGUAACAUCCCCCUGUGAAAACAGUGAGGAGCCCCUCUCUCUGCUGAGUUAUUAUUUUGUGUGUGUGUGUUUUUGAGACAGAGUCUCACUCAGGCUGGAGUGCAAUGGCACAAUCUCAGCUCACUGCAACCUCCGCCUCCUAGGUUCAAGUGAUUCUCCUGCCUUAGCCUCCCAAGUAACUGGAAUUACAGGCGCGUGCCACCAUGCCCAGGUUAUUUUUUUAUUUUUUAUUUUUUUUUGUAUUUUUAGUAGAGACAGGGUUUUGCCAUGAUGGCCAGGCUAGUCUCAAACAUUUGACCUCAGAUGAUCCGCCGCCCUUGGCCUCCCAAAGUGCUGGGAUUAUGGGCAUGAGCCACCGUGCCCAGCCUCUCUGCUGAGUUCUGACUUCCGUCCGCGGAGCUAGGAUAGGCAUAGAUAUCUGAAGCUUCCCACAUGCGGCCCAGCUGUCUUUGCGUCUUUUUCUGGCAUGUGAGCCAAACCACUUCCUCCUCCUCACACGGAGUGACAACCAGAAGCCUCACAAACCAGUUCAUCAAACACACCCAGGCAUGGCUGCAGCCCAGUGCAGACUCAAGUUGAGACACCAUUAAAAUAAGAAAUGUUUUUCUAGCUCUUUAAAGUUUAUAAAACCCAUGCAUAUACAUGACUUCCACUUAAUCCUUGAAACAGCCCUUUGAAGUUUGGGUUGUCUUUAUUCUCAUAUAAAUAAGUAGUAAAACUGAAGUUCAGAAAGGUUAAAAAAGGCAGACAUAACUAGUUAGUAAGAGACAGAGCUAGGGAUUUUCAGUCCUGUCAUAUGGAACCCUAGGCUCCCUCUGUGAUAAGAUUACAAACCUGAGACUUAGUUGAGGGAGGUGUAGAUUAAGUAGCAACAGCUGUGCCUUCAGACCUGGCGUUCAAGGCAGCUGGCAUCACCCGGAG
ensembl:lncRNA